UGUCAGCCGCCGCGGUAAUACAUAGGGUGCAAGCGUUGUCCGGAUUUAUUGGGCGUCACGAGUUCGUAGGCGGUUUUUCGCGUCGGAUGUGAAAACUCAGGGCUCAACCCUGAGCCUGCAUUCGAUACGGGAAGACUCGAGGACGGCAGGGGAGACUGGAACUUCUGGUGUAGCGGUGGAAUGCGCAGAUAUCAGAAAGAACACCAAUGGCGAAGGCAGGUCUCUGGGCCGAUCCUGACGCUGAGGAACGAAAGCGUGGGGAGCAAACAGGAUUAGAUACCCUGGUAGUCCACGCCGUAAACUAUGGACGCUAGGUGUGGGGGACAUUCCACGUUCUCUGCGCCGCAGCUAACGCAUUAAGCGUCCCGCCUGGGGAGUACGACCGCAAGGUUAAAACUUAAAGAAAUUGACGG
rnacentral:rRNA from 1 species